rnacentral:rRNA from 1 species
GCUACAGGCUUAACACAUGCAAGUCGAGGGGCAGCAUGGUCUUAGCUUGCUAAGGCCGAUGGCGACCGGCGCACGGGUGAGUAACACGUAUCCAACCUGCCGUCUACUCUUGGACAGCCUUCUGAAAGGAAGAUUAAUACAAGAUGGCAUCAUGAGUCCGCAUGUUCACAUGAUUAAAGGUAUUCCGGUAGACGAUGGGGAUGCGUUCCAUUAGAUAGUAGGCGGGGUAACGGCCCACCUAGUCUUCGAUGGAUAGGGGUUCUGAGAGGAAGGUCCCCCACAUUGGAACUGAGACACGGUCCAAACUCCUACGGGAGGCAGCAGUGAGGAAUAUUGGUCAAUGGGCGAGAGCCUGAACCAGCCAAGUAGCGUGAAGGAUGACUGCCCUAUGGGUUGUAAACUUCUUUUAUAAAGGAAUAAAGUCGGGUAUGGAUACCCGUUUGCAUGUACUUUAUGAAUAAGGAUCGGCUAACUCCGUGCCAGCAGCCGCGGUAAUACGGAGGAUCCGAGCGUUAUCCGGAUUUAUUGGGUUUAAAGGGAGCGUAGAUGGAUGUUUAAGUCAGUUGUGAAAGUUUGCGGCUCAACCGUAAAAAUUGCAGUUGAUACUGGAUAUCUUGAGUGCAGUUGAGGCAGGCGGAAUUCGUGGUGUAGCGGUGAAAUGCUUAGAUAUCACGAAGAACUCCGAUUGCGAAGGCAGCCCUGCUAAGCUGCAACUGACAUUGAGGCUCGAAAGUGUGGGUAUCAAACAGGAUUAGAUACCCUGGUAGUCCACACGGUAAACGAUGAAUACUCGCUGUUUGCGAUAUACAGCAAGCGGCCAAGCGAAAGCGUUAAGUAUUCCACCUGGGGAGUACGCCGGCAACGGUGAAACUCAAAGGAAUUGACGGGGGCCCGCACAAGCGGAGGAACAUGUGGUUUAAUUCGAUGAUACGCGAGGAACCUUACCCGGGCUUAAAUUGCAGAUGAAUUACGGUGAAAGCCGUAAGCCGCAAGGCAUCUGUGAAGGUGCUGCAUGGUUGUCGUCAGCUCGUGCCGUGAGGUGUCGGCUUAAGUGCCAUAACGAGCGCAACCCUUGUUGUCAGUUACUAACAGGUUCCGCUGAGGACUCUGACAAGACUGCCAUCGUAAGAUGUGAGGAAGGUGGGGAUGACGUCAAAUCAGCACGGCCCUUACGUCCGGGGCUACACACGUGUUACAAUGGGGGGUACAGAGGGCCGCUACCACGCGAGUGGAUGCCAAUCCCCAAAACCUCUCUCAGUUCGGACUGGAGUCUGCAACCCGACUCCACGAAGCUGGAUUCGCUAGUAAUCGCGCAUCAGCCACGGCGCGGUGAAUACGUUCCCGGGCCUUGUACACACCGCCCGUCAAGCCAUGGGAGCCGGGGGUACCUGAAGUGCGUAACCGCGAGGAGCGCCCUAGGGUAAAACUGGUGACUGGGGCUAAGUCAUAAC